rnacentral:rRNA from 1 species
CUCCUGGCACGCGAAUGCAUNUAGANGUNAAGUUUGAUCAUGGCUCAGAUCGAACGCUUAGGCAGGCCUAACACAUGCAAGUCGAGCGGAUGACGGGAGCUUGCUCCUUGAUUCAGCGGCGGACGGGUGAGUAAUGCCUAGGAAUCUGCCUGGUAGUGGGGGACAACGUUUCGAAAGGAACGCUAAUACCGCAUACGUCCUACGGGAGAAAGCAGUGUGACCUUCGGGCCUUGCGCUAUCAGAUGAGCCUAGGUCGGAUUAGCUAGUUGGUGAGGUAAUGGCUCACCAAGGCGACGAUCCGUAACUGGUCUGAGAGGAUGAUCAGUCACACUGGAACUGAGACACGGUCCAGACUCCUACGGGAGGCAGCAGUGGGGAAUAUUGGACAAUGGGCGAAAAGCCUGAUCCAAGCCAUGCCGCGUGUGUGAACGAACGCGUCUUCGCGAAUUUGUAAAGCACUCUUAACGUUCGGGACGCGAAAGUGGCAAUGUAANAGUUUAAUAACCUUUGACCUGUUUAGACCGUUAACCGACCNGGACAUAAGCACCCGGCUAACCUCUGUGCCACNACAGNCCCNGCCGUGGUGUAAAUUACCAAGNAAGGGGAUGGCCAAAGCCGGUUUAACAUCCGGGNCAAAUUCACUUAGGGGGCGGUUAACAUGCNGCCGCGGUAGCAGUAGCGAUAAAGUCANAAAAGUCUGGGCACUCCGUUGCGAAACAGCCCCCCGGGNGCNUCACAACCCUUUGGGGACACNCUUGCANUCACACAAACAUUGAGCAGCAGACAUACGAANUUCACCGCG